rnacentral:misc_RNA from 1 species
GGGACAGCAACAACUGCUU